CGCGGAGGGGGGGCGAUGGUGUGAGAAAAUGACGCCGCGUGGCCAGAGGACGCGGGGCCCAAUGGCGGCGGCGCUGAGGAGCGGGCCGGCGGGCGAGCGCGUGACGCUGCGCCCCGGCAACCAAUGGGAGGCCCGCCUUCCGAUGGCGGGGUGAGAGCCGCGCGGCUGAGGGUCCUCUGGUGAGAAAGAGGAGGCGGUCGCCUAGCAACGGGAAGAAGGCGCGCCACUCAGGAGCAUCAUCUCAUUGAGGCAAGGAAGGAAGGAAGGAGGCUUCUCUCAUGUCCAGGACCUGGAGCUGACAGAAGGAGCUCAUCCGCACUCUCCCCGGGUGGGAUUCGUACCUGGCAGCUUUCAGGUCAGCAACCCAACCUUCAAGUCACGAGGCUUUUAUCCUCUAGGCCACCAGAGGCUCCUUACAUCUCAGUUAACAAAGCUUCAAUUAACAGAACUUCAGCAACAUUUUGUUAACUUUUCCAUUACACUUUUUGUUAGUUUUAUAGAAUCACUAGUAGUCUCUAAGAAUUAUUGUAUGCUGCACCUCUACAUUCUACUACAGGUAUGCAAAUUCAUUGAAAUUUCAUGACUCUAGUGAGUGUUUUAGUAACUUCUGCUUCUUUAUUUGCAUUCUGAGUUAAGUUAUAUGUGCCCAUUUGCUUCAACUGUGUGUCCAAAGGCUAGGGUGGGUGCCUGUUCAGACACACAAGAAUUAUGUUUAAAAUAAUGCCCUGUUCUGGAACAGAUACAAACAUACCAAUGUUCUGUGACCUGGAGUGUUCCAUAAAGGAUCACUUCAAUUAUCAUAGUAAACCUGAGGAACCACAUUUGAGAGUAUUUUGCAUGCUGGCGCCAUAGGCCCCGUCAAAAUGCAUCAUGUUUACUCUGGAAUGAAUGUACCUAGGACAGCAGCCAAAGUUUGUCUGAAUGACGUUUGCUAUCUCCCAGGCUGUCUCUGGCAUCCCUUUCCCUUAAGACUUUACUGGCUUAGAAUUGAGUAUUGUUGUAAUACGUGCAAAUAAAGUUGUACCUUUCUGA